GGUUGUGUAGUGUAGUGGUUAUCACUCUGGAUUUUGAUUGCUAUCAAGCCUUCCAGUAACCCCGGUUCGAACCCGGGCACGACCU
rnacentral:tRNA from 2 species